rnacentral:rRNA from 1 species
AGCGAACGCUGGCGGCAGGCCUAACACAUGCAAGUCGAACGAAGUCUUCGGACUUAGUGGCGGACGGGUGAGUAACACGUGGGAACGUAGCGUUGGGUUCGGAACAACUCAGGGAAACUUGAGAUAAUACCGGAUGAGCCCUUAGGGGGAAAGAUUUAUCGCCGAAAGAGCGGCCCGCGUUAGAUUAGCUAGUUGGUGAGGUAAAGGCUCACCAAGGCUACGAUCUAUAGCUGGUCUGAGCGGAUGCUCAGCCACACUGGGACUGAGACACGGCCCAGCCUCCUACGGGAGGCAGCAGUGGGGACUCUUGCGCAAUGGGCGAAAGCCUGACGCAGCCAUGCCGCGUGAAUGAUGAAGGUCUUAGGAUUGUAAAAUUCUUUUACCAGGGACGAUAAUGACGGUACCUGGAGAAAAAGCCCCGGCUAACUUCGUGCCAGCCGCCGCAGUAAAAC